CAGGGUUUGACAUCCCGGUGACCGCCAUAGAGAUAUGGUUUUCCCUUCGGGGACACCGGUGACAGGUGGUGCAUGGUUGUCGUCAGCUCGUGUCGUGAGAUGUUGGGUUAAGUCCCGCAACGAGCGCAACCCUUAUUGUUAGUUGCUACGCAAGAGCACUCUAGCGAGACUGCCGUUGACAAAACGGAGGAAGGUGGGGACGACGUCAAAUCAUCAUGCCCCUUAUAUCCUGGGCUACACACGUAAUACAAUGGCACUUAACAAAGGGAAGCAAGACCGCGAGGUGGAGCAAAUCCCCAAAAAGUGUCCCAGUUCGGACUGCAGUCUGCAACUCGACUGCACGAAGUCGGAAUUGCUAGUAAUCGCGGAUCAGCAUGCCGCGGUGAAUACGUUCCC
rnacentral:rRNA from 1 species